UACGGAGGAUGCAAGCGUUAUCCGGAAUGAUUGGGCGUAAAGCGUCCGCAGGUGGCAAUGUAAGUCUGCUGUCAAAGCGUCUGGCUCAACCAGAUAAAGGCAGUGGAAACUACAUAGCUAGAGUAAGGUAGGGGUAGAGGGAAUUCCUGGUGUAGUGGUGAAAUGCGUAGAGAUCAGGAAGAACACCGGUGGCGAAAGCGCUCUGCUGGACCUUAACUGACACUGAGGGACGAAAGCUAGGGGAGCGAAUGGG
rnacentral:rRNA from 1 species